rnacentral:rRNA from 1 species
UACGGAAAGCAGCAGUGGGGAAUAUUGCACAAUGGGCGAAAGCCUGAUGCAGCUAUGCCGCGUGUAUGAAGAAGGCCUUAGGGUUGUAAAGUACUUUCAUUGGGGAGGAAAAACAAAACUAAUAAUUUUAUUUACUUGACGUUACCCGAAAAAGAAGCACCGGCUAACUCCGUGCCAGCAGCCGCGGUAAUACGGAGGGUGCUAGCGUUAAUCAGAAUUACUGGGCGUAAAGAGCACGUAGGUGGUUUUUUUAAAGUCAAGAUGUGAAAUCCCUGGGCUUAACCUAGGAACUGCAUUUUGAAACUGAAAUACUAGAGUAUCGUAGAGGGAGGUAGAAUUCUAGGUGUAGCGGUGAAAUGCGUAGAUAUCUGGAGGAAUACCUGUGGCGAAAGCGGCCUCCUAAACCGAAUACUGACACUGAGGGUGCGAAAGCGUGGGGAGCA